ensembl:lncRNA
GUGUAAUUUUAAAAGGUAUCGUAUUUUUCUAUUCAUUUUCUAGUAUUUCAUUGUUAGUAUACAGAAAUGCGACUGAUUUCUGAAUGUUAAUCUUAUAUGCUGCUACUUAGUUGAAUUUGUUGAUCAGUUCAAGUAGUUUUGAGGUUGAGUCCUUAGGGUUUUCUAUAUUAUAGUAUCAUGUCAUCUGCAUACAGUGACAAUUUUACCUCUUCUCUUACUAUUUGGAUGCAUUUUAUCUCUUUUUGAUUGCUGUGGCUAGGACUUCCAAUACUAUCUUGAAUAAAAGUGGUGAGAGUGGGCAUCCUUGUCUUGUCCCAGACUUUAGUGGUAAGGCUUUCAGCUUUUCUGCAUUGAGUAUUAUAUUUGCUGUGGGUUGUCAUAAAUGGCUUUAAUUAUGUGAAGGUAUGUUCCCUCUAUACCCACUUUGGUAAGAGUUUUUAUCGUGAAGCAAUGUUGGAUUUUGUCAAAUGCUUUUUCUGCAUCUAUUGAGAUGAUCAUGAGCUUUUUGACUUUUCUUUUUUGAAUGUGGUAUAUGAUGUUGAUUGAUUUACAUAUGUUGAACCAUUCUUGUGCACUUGGGAUGAAUCCUACCUAGUCAUGGUGUAUAAUCCUUUUUAUAUGCUGUUGGAUUCGGUUAGCUAAAGUUGUGUUGUGAAUUUUUGUGUCUAUAUUCAUCAAAGAUAUUGGCGUAUAGUUUUCUUUUUUGGUGGUAUCUUUGGUUUUGGAAUUAGGGUGAUGAUGGCGUCAUAGAAUGUCUUUGGGAGUGUUCCUCCUUCAACCUUUUGAAAAAGUUUAAAGAGGGUGGGUAUAAGUUCCUCUUUGCGUGUUUGGUAGAAUUUCACCUUUGAAGCCAUCUGGUCCCGGACUUUUAUUAGGAGUGUUUUUAUGACAUAUUCAAUUUAAUUUCUAGUGAUUGGCCUGUUCAGUUGAUCUCUUUCUUCUUGAUUCAGUUCUGGCAGACUGUAAGUCCCUAGAAGGGUGUCCAUUUCUUCUAGGUUGUCACAUUUGUUAGCAUAUAGUUGUUCAUAGUAUUCUCUCAUGGCUUUUUGAAUUUCUGUAGUAUCUGGUAUGACUUCUUUUUCAUUUCUUAUUUUGUUUAUUUGGGGUUUUUCUCUCCUCCUCUUGGUGAGACUAGCCAGAGGUUUGUUAAUUUUGUUUACCUUUUCAAAGAACCAGCUCUUGGUUUUAUUGAUUUCUUCUGUUGUUUUUUGAAUCUCUAUUUUAUUGAUUUCCUCUUUGAUCUUUAUGAUUUCUGAUUUCCUUCUGCUGACUUUAGGUUUUGUUUGUUGUUCUUUUUCUAAUUCAUUUAGGUGGUAGGUUAAGUUGUCGAUUUGAGAUUUUUCUUCUUUUUCGAGGAAGGCCUGUAUUGCUAUGAAUUUCCCUCGGAGCACUGCUUUUGUGGGAUCCCAUAGAUUUUGAGUGGUUGUAUCUUCAUUAUCAUUUGUCUCGAGGCAUUUUUUUAAUUUCCUUUUUGAUUUCCUCAUUCUGGGUAUAGAAUUCUAGUAUGAAACAGGUGUGGAUGCUGCUUUUUAACUGGAGUCCUCUAGAUGUCAGGAUCUAUAGGCCUUUUGUCUCAGCCAUUCAGUGCCUCCAGAGGGAAGUCCACCUGCAGCCAGUAUUCUGGUUGCUCAUUAGUUGGUGUGCAGCUUUUAAUUAAUCCACUAGCUCUGAGUUCAGUGCCUCUCCCUCAUUCUAUCUUGUACCUGGGGCCCCUAGUCUGAAGAAAUGGAACCAUCGUGAGUCUGUAAAAUAAACUCUCAGCCUUCUACCAGUGUGUGAAGUGGUUGUUGACCAGUUUUAGCCAGUUUCCCUGUUUUCCAUCCCAGCCCUCAAUCCAGCUUUCCCCAGUACUUAGCACCUCUAAUUGCUGAGAUUUCCUGUAAAUCAUAGUGAUAAUGAACUUACUCCUGUGCAUGUAUGUGGUAUUCAGCUUUCUCUAUGACUUUGUCUUCCAGAUAUUUGUUGCUAUUGUUCACUCACUGAUGGCUUCUCGUCUGUUUCCUUUGUUGUUUUGACUGUAUGUAUAUAUGUUUUUAAUGGCUGCACCCAUGGCAUGUGGAAGUUCCUGGGCCAGGGAUUGAAUCCGAGCUGCAGCUGUGACCUAUGCCAUGGCUUCAGCAAUGCCAGAUCCUUAAUCCACUGUGCUGGGCUGGGGAUUGAACCCUUGCCUCUGCAGCUACCUGAACUACUGCAAUCGUAUUCCUAACCCACUGUACCAUAGGGGGAACUCCUAUACCAUUUUCAUUCUUAGCAGAAAUUCAUAGAUUUUUACCAAAUUGAGAACAACCUACCUGGCUGAAUGGAGGAUAUAUUUUCCAUGGAAAACCUAGCUGGAUUUGAGAAUGUCUUUAAUUUGAAAAUUUAGCUGUUGUAGUUUUCAGGUUGCACCAACCCCAUGCUUUUCCCAGGAAUCAGAUGUUGCCUAGAAGGAGGGAGAAUCUGUUCCCCUUUAAGCUUGGGGUCAUGUGUGUUUACCUAAAUGGUAUAAGGCUUCCUGCAUGCCUGAACACAAAAGGCUGCCUCUUUAAAAUAUAAGAUGACACUUCUGUUGCUAUUUGCAAUGAAAUUUUGAAAAGGUUACAUCUUAAUUAUAGCAGAUUAGUCACUUUUAAGAGUAUGUCUUGCAAAGACAAGAGUUUGUGUGUAUUUUUAGACUCAUGGUUAAGAGAGCACAAGUUCUCAAAAAAAGCAAGUUAAUACUGAGCCACUAAUCUAUUUCUAUACUAAAACUGAUGAACUUAAAUAAACAUAAAAAUCUGCAACUUGAACUCAUUUUCUCACCUCUGAAAUUGUUUAUCCCAAGGAAAGUAAGUUCAUAAUCAUCUCCAUCUGUUAUGGGCUGAAUUAAUUGUGUUCUGUUCAAGUUUGUCAGUGGAAAGCCUCGCCUCCACCCCAAGCCCCACCCCCCUACACCUCAGCAUGUGACUAUAUAUUUGGAGAUAGGCUCCUUUUUUUUAAUUUAUUAAAGUUUUAUUGAAGUAUCGUUGAUCUACAACAUUGUGGUAAUUUCUGCUGUACAACACAGCAAUUCAGUUAUACAUGUACACAUCCAUUCUCUUCUGGGAGUUAGGGUCUUUAAAGAGGUGACUAAGGUAAAAUGAGGUCACAUGAGUAGACUGUACUCUGUGACUGCUGUUCUUGUGAAAAGCGAUCAGGACACAUGUAAAGAGAAAAUCAUGAGAAGACCAGUGAGAGAAGAUAGCCAUCUACAAGCCGGGAAAAGAGGACCCCAAGUGGAACAAACUCUGCUGACACCUUCACCUUGGACUCCUAGCCUCCAGAAACUGCAGAGAUAAAUUUCUGUUGUUUAAGCCUCCCAGUGUGUGAUGUUUGUUAGGCAACCCUAGAAAACUAAUACACCAUCCUUCCCAUCCUAAAUUUAAAACCAUCACCACCACAGUGCUCCCAGAUUCCCUAACCUCUUUCCUAGUUGAAUUCUUAAGGUUUUAACAGACAGUCUUAACCAGGUGAUGUAGUAUGUUCUUUGGAUUGGAUGUCUUUUAUGAACAGUAACUAAAGGCAUGCUCUGCUCUGCAUUCCGAAGUGUGCAAAC